GCAUGACGUAAUGAUUAACGCGUCUGUUUAAAAGGAUCAGAAGAUCCCAGGUUCGAAUCCUGGCUGGCU